rnacentral:lncRNA from 1 species
GAAAAAGACUGUUACCUGGCUCCCAACGGACUUUCUCUCCUUCUUCCUUUCAUUACUAGAACCCUUCAAGUUUUAGCUCCUCAGCUAAAGACUACAAUUCCUAGCCUUUCUUGCAACCAGGGGGUGGUCGUGUUGAACUCUUCCUGACCAUGCAGAUACAGUGAGAAGACAGCUGUCUAUGAAAUGGAGCCUCACCAGACACUGACUCUGCUGUUCUUGGACUUCUCAGCCUCCAGAACUGUGAGAAAUAAAUGCCUGUUGUUUAAGCCACCAGGUCUAUAGUAGUUGACCAGUCUAUGCCAGCUUGACCAGACUGAGACACAUGUCUUUUGAUUAUAUGACAAUCUUUUACAUCCUUUCCCCCUUUACCAUUAGCCUUCAGUGGAACCUCUGCAGAUGUAGAAAGGAUAUUUGGGACUUGCCAUCUUCCAACACAUUGUGCUGCAUUACAGGAAGUUUCCAGAAUCCAAGAGACUGAAAUACACUGGCUCAACAGAGUGAGCCCAGGACAUUUAAAUGUAUCUGACAGGAGAGUAGAGUAGAGAGAGUAGAGGCUACCAACACGAU